CAGAGAAGGGAAGCAUUUAACGCAGCCCCCAGUGGGUGUCUGGGCCAUGCCCCACAGGCAGCAUUUCCAAAAGAAAACGAAAUUCUAAAGGGCUCCAAGGUUUCAAUUCGAGGCCAAUUUCCUGGUGGACAUUUCUGGAGACCAGCCACCAGGGGAAAGCUGCUAAGAAAUUUUAGUCGCCGAAUUUUAAUUAGCUGACAGAUACACAGAAUACUUACCAAACGGGAGCCGAACUUUUUUGAAAUGUGCAACUGUGUGAAACUUGUCUGGUUUCAGAUUUACACCGAAAUUUGGAACCAUGUUGUUUUCAUCCAAACAAACUCAAGCUGAAGAAGUUCUUCACGAAGCUGGGUGCCCAGUUGCACUGAGAAACUGAUGUUCCUAAUCAUUAACCCACCAGCACAUGGCUACCGUGGAGCUUCUCCAUGCGCCUAGCGCCUAGCGCGGGGAUGGUUUGUGUCAUCCCGCCUUGCAGAGGGCUGGCCCUCAGCGCGUAUUGUCCCAGGUACCCCGUGGAAGAUGAAAGGAAAAAGAAGCCGCUGCAGCAGUGUGACAGCGGCCUGUGAUCUGUCACAGGAAGUCGAUUUCUGAGGUGCUUGCCAUAGCAGGAGCUGAAUAAAUGUUUGUGAAGUAAGUCAACAAAAUUAGAACAUCUUAAGCUGAAACACAAGGAAGUACUUAAUGAAAAUGUUAAAUCCACUGCUCGGGAUCACUCCAGCGGGAGAUCUGAGGUCGCAGGAAGCUGGACAGUGAGAAAAUCACCAUUGGCACCCAACCACGUACUAGUGCUUUUGCCUCUGUGCCCUGCCCCGUCCUGCCAUGGGCAGUGAGCACAAAGAUGAGGUCCCGUCCACGUGGGGCCUCCCUUCUAGUCCUGGGGUUCCUGGGGGCAGGGCGGACCCCGCACACCAGCAUGGGGCCAAUCGGGAGCCCCAGGUUCAGAGACGCGAGGGUUUUUCCAGUUUACCAAACCAACAUCAGUAAAUAGGGAACAGAGCCGGGGACGGGGGAGAAGAGGACCCGUGUGUUCUCCAACUUUUCAUCAUGCUCUACGCAGUGCCCUCAUCUGUGUUGCGAUCUCUGAUCGUGGUUUUUAAAAAUACAUUGGUGAAGUGGAGAAGGAGAAGAAAAGCAGAAGGGAUCCUUCCUGGAGCUGUGUGAGCCCCGCGUUCAGCAUGCAUCUCCAGGACCUCAAGAGCGCUUGAUGCUUCCUGGGGCUGUUCCAGAUCAGGGCCACCAGGAGGUCAGUGAGUCAGUAGCUCCUGGCCCCGCCCUGACAUUUCAGUGACCUUCUCAGUGACCUGGACUGCACCUCAUCUGUAAAAUGGGGCUCCACCACAGAUUCUGGCUUCUUCCAGAGUGUGGGGACACCUGCAGGAAGCAAUGCCUGUGAAAGUGCGUCACCUGGUAAAAGCAUAAGGAUGGGAUCAUGUUCUCAGGGCUUUCAAAACAGAAACAAGAAAACUAAACAAAGAACCUAAAGAUGUAUGUUGACGAUAUGCUGUGUGUAUAUCCACAUAUACCCUCACAAGGCAGAUUCUAAAUAUGUAUGUGUACAAAAGCAUAAAAGGAAUAAAGUUGCUUACAGUCUCAACGCCCAGAAAAA